AGCCACCGUCAACAACCCCAGCUGCUACCAAGGUGCAAGAACACACAGGCUGCUGUGAAAGGACUGUAGGGGGCAAGGGCAGAGGAAGGGGCCAGCCAGGAGGCUUCCAAAAUAAUCCAGAUGAGGAAACUGCCGCUCAGAGACGGCAGCCGACCCAGCCAAGGCCGCACAGCCAGGAUUCAAAGCCAUACCGCUCAGCUCCUGCCUCCAGGCUCUGCCUUUGCAUGUGGCUUCUCCUGGCUCCUGGACCCUUCCCCGGCCCUCCCAGCUGGCUGUGCUGUGACAGUGGGCGGGGGAGUGCCAAGGCUCUGCCCUGCCCCCCGCCCUUGGCAUCUCCGGUCAAUAUGGCACUCACAGCUCCCUGGGCAUGGACCCCCUCCUGCCAUCCCCACUUAAAGUGAUACUUUAAUAAAUUAUGCUUUUAUGUUAUUACACGUGGAGCUAUAAAAGCAGAGAGUGUGCGGCCGGGCUGAGGUAAGGCGCCCGCGACUUUCCAAUUUCCUGGUCUGGCCUGGCUCUGCUCCGCACCGUGAAUUUUUCAUUAAUGUGCACAGGUG
rnacentral:lncRNA from 10 species